AAGCCGGAAGUGAAAAAAUAGCGUUUCAUUAAUUAUAUUAUAGCGUUCCAUCCAAAUUUCAAUUUAGGGCAGGAAUCUCUCUCCACUUCACCGCCUUAAAAACAUAUGCGAACUCAAAAUUUUCUCCAAAUCAAUGGCGCACAGAUCUCCCUCUCUUUUCUUGCGAAUUGGUUUCGGCUUCUGCUGGAUAGAUCAAGCGUUCAGUCGCGAGUUCAAUCGUGAGUUCUCCUUUCAUGAGCAAGGGUUUCAAUAAAGAAGCAAAUCGCCAUGACCUAUUGCACCAGUUGAAACAAAAAGCCGUCGAACGGAGAAGCCCUAACCAGAUGGACGAUGAUGAUGAAAGGAUAACCAAUGUUAGAGGAAGAUUGUGAGGUUGCAUUAGUUUGAUUUAUGUGCCUACCAUGGUGUACUAUGGUUCAUACCAAGAUGGGAGAGAGAUCGAACAAGUUUUUAAGGAAAUAGCUGAAGUUUGGCGAGCCUCCAAGUCAAGAUUAGCCUCGAAAAUAUGACACGCUACAGUUGAAGGCUACGACUCCAGCUAGAUAAUAUCAAAUCACUCCACGAUUGGAAUGAUUUUGUGAAGGAAAAGACUUGUAAAAAGUGUAAGGUAUGUGCAACCUGAUUUAUCUUUAAUAUUAUUAUCAACCAAAAAGGAAUUUGUUAUUGAAGAAUGGAUAUGGUUGCAAGACUAUUGUUUUACAAAAAUGAGAAAGAAACAAAUCGGCAUACUCUGAGCCAUGAGGAAUAUGCACUGCAAACAAGUGAGAGGCAAUAUCUACAUUGUUAUAGUUUGUUAUCACGGUUUCUUAUACUACAUAUUAGCAAGUAAAACUAAGUGUAUUUGUAACCUUGUAUCUGUUAUUGUAGAAAGCAAAAAUAGGAAGCCCUCUUCCAUAACUAUACAUUUUGUUUACUGUUUUAGAAUCAUGCAACUGCUCUGCUUCGCCAACUUGGCUGCCAGCCUGCCAAGCUUGUGCAGCUAACAGCUAGCAGGUUCAGUCAGCAAGUAGAUUGUGUCGGUUGGAACUGCUUUGGUGAAGUUGGGUACAGAUUAUGCAGGUACAGGUGUGCGGGUGGGCAUGUCACAUGUUGUGAGCAUCUCCAAAGAAUCUAUUCCAGCACUUCCAGCUGGAAGACUUGGUGUGUCGCUGUUUGGU